UUUUAUUGACUUCUGUUAGCCCCAACCCAAGUCAAUCACACCCUCUGGUCAGGAAAAUCUGAGGAAGCCCUGGAGUAAGAAUUCAUAUCCUACCUUGAUAGCGGAACGCGUUCGCCCCUUCAUCUAAACUGAAGCCAUCAAGGCCAGAAUCAAAGACCUUCCAAGAGAGAGCGGAACAUUGAUCAUGGCUUAUUACAACCCAUAUCAGUACCUCGAGUACAAUCCACCAGAUGGGUGCCCUCAAUUCUGGACAUACAAGAAGGUGUCCUUUGUCGCAUCUCUGAGCUUAAUCUUUCUGCUUAUGACUGUAUCACUUAGACCGUGGACUUUCGUGUUCAUAUCUAUGGUGGCAGCCUCACUAACCAUGUCAUUCGACUAUGAAGGUGCCUUCAUGGACUACUUUUGGAGGCUAAUUACGAUUGUUGCAUUGGUGUUCUUGUUCUGGCUCCUCAUAAGGUGUGCCCAGAAGGUGAAAAGGCCUAGAAGCAGGAGCAAUGAGGCAGAGGAUGACGAUGAGGAUGAUGAGAGCAUUUCAGUGUAUGUAUCCAUGGGUCUGAUUGCCAUUUUGGCCUUGGUCCUCACAUGGUGUGUCUAGAAGUUGCAGAGGCCUAGGAGGAGGAGGGGUGGUAUUUGAUUAACUCCACAUCCUCUCUCUGCUGCCCAGCAGCUUCUGCUUCUGCCAUGACCCCUUGAAAACCCAUCUUAUUUGCUGUUUAAUAUCAAUUGUAGGGACACUUCUACUAUUCAGAAGAAACUGCCUCCACUGCCUGCUUGCUGUUUCUUUCUUACUUAUUUGGGUGUUUCCAUUCAAAAUUUGGAGUUUGCUUAAUGGUUUGAUAAGAAGUCUUUGUAAUAUCCUACUGAAUUUGUGAAAGUGGAACUUUGUAAAAUAUCUUUUAUUAUUAUUUCCCACCUUUAGUGCUACUAAGUAUGAAGUUACGGUUGUAGAAGGAAUAGAAAUUUAGAAGGGACAGCCAAUAAUAAAGCAAGAGAAAAAGUAAGAGGGUAAUUAAAAGAAAGGGAAAGAACCGCAAUUCAUGGUUGCGAUUCUAUUUAAAAUAAUUUUUUUUAAAAAAAAAUACCGCCACCCAUGUGGAUAUCUAUAUGCCUUUUUCUUGGAUUCAAAGUCAGAGUGAUAAUUUUUUUAAGAAAAAAAAAUGAUCUAUACUAGGCCAAAACUCAAAAAAUCCAUAUGGUGUAGAAAAAUGACCCAAUUCUAAUUUCAUCUGAUUCCACCAACUCUACUAAUAGCAAAGAUAUUGUUGAAGCCUCCUUUGGAUAAUAACUUUUCUUGUUGACUCAACCUUUUUCUUCAACUUUGAAUCCUCUAUCAUUGAAGCUUGAUCUAAACAACUACAAUCUCUAAUGUCCACAAGCUUUUCCUCUAAUUAAUGUUCAUGAAUUGGAAGGUUUCAUUAUUGACACAAAGCCUUGUCAUGAGCAAUAUGUUUUAACUCAUAUUAGUGCUUUUCGAACAAAGGUUACUUAUCAUAUCAAUCUUGAUUAUAUAAAUUGAACUUGACUCUAUCGUUUUCUAGUUAGUUGAUCACUUUCCUUGAUUCUUGAAUCUAUCUAGAAUCAUAUUAUUGAUGCACUUCUUCAUAUGAGAUUUAGAGAACACUUGAACGAUUAUUCACUAUUGAAUCUAAAUUUAGAAUACUGCUACUUUAUUAUUUGUUGCAGUCCACUUGCAAAGGCUCCAUGUCAAUUGCUAACUACAUAUCGAAUUUAGGAGGAAUUGCACACUUUCUACUAUUGGUCAAGUCAUAAAUCGAUGAGAAGCUUGUCAUGUAUAUCCUUAAAGUUUUGAAUGGUGAAUACGAUCCAAUUCUCAUUAAUUUGACAUCUCAUAAUGAAGUUGUUUCACUAGAUGUAGUAUAAUUUUUGUUGCAAAGUUGAAGAUAUGUAUUGAGCAACAAAGUUAUGUUGUUUCUAAUGCACAAGAACAUUUAGCAAUGGUGGCAGAAGUGGUAGAGGUAAUGGUAGGACAACUUGCUAGCUCUGUGGUAAGGCUUGACAUGUGGUAGCAAAAUACUAUCACAAGUUCGGCAUUAACUUUACUAGAAAUACAGUUUGAAUUGUCACAGUAGGAAAGUUCACAUACCUCCCUAUAGUCAAUGAUCCAAAUUGGUAAAUAAACAGUGGUGAUACUAAUCACAUCACUACAUGCCUCAACAAUCUUACUAUCAAGGAGAACUUUAAAGGCAAUGAGAAGCCCAUUAUAAGUAAGGAACAAAAUAUUAACAUUGAACAUGUUGGUUCUACUUCUUUUGCCUCGCAUAACAGUUCCUAAUCUUUAUAUCACAAAAAUAGUUGUCAUGCACCUACCAUAAUCAAGAACUUGUUGAGUAUUUCUAAGUUUACUAAUGAUAAUAAUGUUGUUGAAUUUUACAUCGAAUAUAUCUAUAUGAAGGAAUCGGAGACAGCCACUCUUGCAAGUCACUCUUGGCCAUGGUAAAUGGGUUGUAUAAGGCAAAUGCAUCAAGUCUUCACUCAAGAUUGAAGUCUCCCUUUGCUUCUCAAAAAAAUGUUGAUUUGCCAUCGAUCUUUGAACUUAAUUGAAUCAACUAAUUCAAACUUUUCAACUUCUAUGUUCACAAAUAAAUGUCGUGGUAUUGGUUUGAAACCUUGUCUUCAUGACUUCAGGAUCACUGAACACUACUUUAUAAUAAUACUUUGAAAUUGUGUUUUGAAGACACAACUUUAAGACAAUAUACUAGAAUUGUCAUAUACACUUGCUUGAAGCUUAUUUGGCACAAAUGUCAUAAUUCUGUCAAUAGUUUUGAAGUUACCUUAAAGUUAUCAAAAAUCCUUCGAGCUCUUCCCAAUAGGUUCAUUACACCUUCUAAUCCUAAUCUAUUUUCCAAAAGUUAUAUAUUCAGAACAGUCCUUUGAACAAAAAAAAAUAAAAAAUAAAAAAUAAAAUAACCCAUCUGCAGAACAACUCUAGCGUUGCGUUUACGGCUGUUAUACGUUUCCCUAGAGGGCAUAGCUUUUCUUGACUCAUUAUCACACUAACCUGCUUCCAAUUGAUCAUAUUCAUCUUCUUUCAACACAUUGUGCCCUUGUGGCAUAAGCUUUGCUUGUGGUUAGACAAAGAACAACAAUUAUUUGAAAGUGAAACAAUGAAGAAAUGCCAAUGCAACUUUAACAAGCAGAAGUUACCCAAUUCAACAAAGAAAAGUUGAAUUAAUUCAUGCCAGGAAAGUAGAAACUCGAUGAUUCGAUGGAUGGGAAAUUCUUCCAACAAGAAAAUAUAUGUAGCUAUGGUCAGAAUCAGAGUAACAUUCCCACAGGCACUACAGUUGAAUAAAGUGCAGGUGAGUAACAGAAGGAAAGAAUGAAAGCACAUUAUGGUGGUAGAAAGUUUCCUUCAUUUUCAUCACUCAAAAACAAGCCAAUGAGCAGAAGCAGAAAUGUUUCUUUUUAAAUGAGAACCUAAAAAGACAUGAAAUGCCUUGCUGCUCGUUCAAAGGACACAAAUUAUACUCCAUAUAAGCAUGCUUACAAAACAGAUACAUUUACAAAGGAGGAAAGAAAUAUGGUGAAUGAAACCAUCAUCUUUACCUUUUAUCUCAUGGAAUGCAUAAUUGUAAACCAUCGCGGCAUUCAUCAACCUCAUAUAAUCUCAUGGAAAAUCUCCACUGACAGCAGUCACCAACCUCUUGUGGUUUCAAGGACCAGGGGUCUGAUGUCACCAUUCCCAUAGAAAAGUAACCAAUUUGGGUUAAUAUCCCUGUUCAAAUGGAUUAAAAUUGGACAAUCCACUCAGCACAGCCUCAUAGUUUCGUUUGGGAAGAUAACAUUGGGGUUCCUUAUGUGGAUCCAAAGCUGCCAAUUCCUUCCACUUAGCCCCCGUACCAUGAACACGAGAUGAGAUGCUCCAUAAGGUGUCACCAGGCUGCACUGUAGUUGUUUAUGGGGAAGUGGAUUUACUCGCCGCCUUUGACUUCAUAAAGGGAUGCUUAUUGUUCUUCCCCAUUCCAUUUUCAAGCAACCAACGAGAACCAGACUGUUGCUGAGUCGAGGUACCCCAAAGUUUCUUCUUACCAGGCUCAGUCUUUCAGGCCAGCAACAUGGACUUCAGCAAUUUUGAACUGAGGAAUGGCUUCCUCAGAAAUUUGUUCUUAUUUCUUCUCAUCCUUCAGAUCCUCCUUUGCCACUGACACAGACUCAUCAUCCUCUUCUUUACUGUUCCCCACCAGUGAAACUGUACUGUAUAUUUUUGGCUUUGGUGGAACACUCUUUCCACCUGAAUAAGAGCAAGCAUUGGCGUACCAACUGGCUCAUAGUUCCGAAGAGGAUCACGAAGCUGCACCAUUAAGGCCACUGUGAAGUUGUUCCCCAACAAACCACACUUUCUUCCGGAACCUCUGCCCCGCCUUCUCUCUCCCUUGGACCCUCCACGGAUAAAUUCUAAGGAAUUCGUAUGAUGGGCUGCAAGAAUUUUUGAAGUUCGCUCACUGAUUUGAUCUUUAUCACCAAUUUCACCAGACUCCAGCCUCAUCCAUUCAUCAAGUGUUAGUGAAAGACCCAUUAAUCCAUCUAAAUCAUCAUCAAUAUCUUUGAUGACCAACAGUUGUAAACCAGCAGCUCCCUCCAAACCAAGGGAGCCAGUGAUGUUCACCCCCUGUCCCUUCAGGGCUGAAAUUUCCCCAAUAGACUGUGCACUGACGUUCGAAGGUGCAUCCUCCUCCACCAUGCCAGUUUGGAUUCUGAGCCCUUCAAUUGAUAGAGCUUCAAUCUUAUCCAUUGCCAAAGGAGCAAGAUCUUCUAGAGAUACGUACUCUGAGCCCACAUCACUGUCUAAGGAGCUUGAAUUUAACUUAUUAGAUCUGGAAGCAGAUGAUUUUCCUUUAACUGUCUUUUGUCCACCAGUUACAUCUUGCCCAGCCUCUGAUCCAAGCUGUAAUAAAGAUUGUCUGCAUCAAUCUAAUGAGUUUUCAAGUUGUUUCCUAAUUGUUUGCAGCUAUCUCAACAGAGUUAACAUGCAUCAGUCCUCAAAGGAUGUUAGUGAUGGUAAAGAGGAUGAGGACACCCAUGAUAUUUCAAAGGAUGACAUCAUUGAUGAUGCUACAAUUAUAGACAUCUCCAAGUUCAAUGAGCAGGUAGAGGGGGGAUCAAAAUGCGCAUUACAUACUUAUACCCUCCAUUAUAUAUAUACUAGCAUUGGAUAUGGUUGUUUACUAUGAGGGGUAAGUGGCCUAUUAAAGUCCUCAAUACCUGGUACCUUGGGUGAAAACUCGGGAGUUGUCUGUGGAUUCUUAUUGAGUCAUAUAGAAGGGGAUUUCCUAAAUUAAGAAAAAAAAAAUCAAAAUAAAUUUUCUUCUCUCUUUAACUUAAAGAAAUAUGAAAUCUGAGUUUAAGAAAAAGUCUUAAGAAAAAUACUAUAAGGGGACACCAAAAUUAAGCACAUGAGGUUUAGGUGGAAAGAACCAAUCAAAGGAAAAUCAAGAGACACUAAGAGGAAUGCUAAACAUGGAUGCACGUUUAUGUAUAAAAAAGAUAAGGUGAGAAAAAUAAGAGAUUGCAUAUUUUGUGUCAUCUUGCUCAAUUCUAAGAAAUUUGACUAUUUGAGUAUCUUGUGUGUGAAACAUGUUAUGUUGAGUCAUUGUAGUUUCAUGAAUUCCAUUACAUAUUUUUCAUUCUUUUUACUCUUUCUAUUUGCUAGGGACUAGCAAAGUUCAGGUUGAAGGGGAUAAUUGGAGCCAAAAUAUAUGCUCCAAUGACGCAUAUUCAACAUGUAACCAUAAGACAUUUAAAUCAUCCAACUUGAUCAAAAUUGUUGUUAAGGUCUUAGCCAUGAGUUUAACCUACAUUUUAGAAAUUUAUCUCAGGUUUAAGGAAAUAAAAAGGUGCAAAUUGAAGCUCUUUAGAUUUUGAAAUAUCAAGAAAGGGUUUAAAUGAGGAAAUUAGCUAGUCAAGACUCAUGAACUAUGAGGAAAGGCAAGCGAACAUGGAUAAUGAGGCAUGAAGCAAAUUAAUCAAGUUGAAUAGAAAUUUAGAAAACAAAAUCUGGUGGUAACAUGUAUUGUGACUUUGAAGUGAAAUUUGGAAUGCUUCUUGAAGUCCAUUUUAGGCUAGCUAUAUAUCAUUUCAAAGCUUUGGAAGUUAGAAAUCCAACACUUCAAAUGGUGUGCAAAUUGAAGCUAAAACGAAGAAAUUAUGAUCGUUUGAAAAUAACUAUAUAGAGCUAAAUGACACAUUGCCACAUUGAUAUUUCGCCUUCUCUACUUCGGGAAUUGUAUCUUAGGCACUUUUUCCUCCCUGAGUGGGCCCCACACUACUAGAAAUCACGAUUUUAAUUUUUUUUUUUUAUAGUCAUUUUAGGUAAUUAUUUGUAAAAUAAGUGGUCAAUAGGAACAUGUCACAUGUUAUGUUUUUUGGUGGAAACCAUAAAAACUUUAUAUUUAGGUUUUCUAGGGAGUACUUGAUUUUUUCUUUUUAGGAAUAAAGAUGACUUGACGAUUCUUGGGGGGAGAGAAUGAGAUAUUGAAGGUUUUUCUUGAUUUGUUUUCUUUUUUCUUUUUAUUAUUGAAUAAAUUAUUAUUUUUAAUUUAUUUGAAAUCGAGAAUGGUUCUUUCUUAUGUUUUUAUGGCCUAUGUAUAUGAGGACAUGCCCAUAAGAGGUUAAAAAGUCAUCUUGGGGUGAAACAUGAAAACCUAGGGUUAAAUCCAAAGGGAAACAAUGGGUGAAAUCAGAUUAAUAAUGAAAUGAAUGAAAGGUUAGACCUAGGAGAUGAUACAAUCACAUAUUCCUUGAUAUUAGGGAUUCUUAGUAAUUUUUAAUCUCUAGUUAUAAGAGGUUUUGUCAUUAUUAUUUACCUUAAAAGGCAAAUCUACAUAGAGUGGUAAAAGCCUAAAAACCUUAGACCUAAACCUAGAUUUCAUAUUCAUUCAUCUAUUAGGUAAUUCAAUGGAAUAAAAUAUUAAAAGUUAGGAUACAGAUCAAUUCUGAGGUAUGACUCAGGUUGAUCUCGUUUGUCCAUGCAUUUUGAUUACCCUAAGACUAUUAAAUUAUAUGUUUUUGUUUCGAUUAAAGGUUUAUCUCAAAGUUGGAUUGUGAACCCCAAGCUUGAUUAAUUGAAUUAAAAAUCAAUAAUCAUUCUAUAAUUUUAAAUAGGUUUAUUUAGGAAAUUUUCAUCAAUAUUUUAUUUUGAUUUAUUUGAAUUAAAUAUUUUUUUACCUUUAGCAUGUAAAUAAUUAAUCCUUUGAAUUUGAGAAAAAAUAAACAUAUUAAAGUUGAUAUGAGAGGAAGACAACCUGGAAUACUACAAAGUCAUGGUAACUCUAUUUUUUAUUUUUCUUUACCAAAGUUAUCAUGUAUUUAUAUUUUAAUAUUUUAUUUACAAUAGAGAUUUACGAUCACUACUUCACCAUAUUCAUUCAAAAAAGUAGAUUUCAAAUCCAUUUGAAAAAUCUUCUUAUUAUUUUGAGUGACCAAAGAAAUGAUUAAUCUUAUAAUUUCUAAAUGAGCUUCAAUAGAGGUGUCAAAUGGGUUGGGUUGCCCAAUUUGGCCCAUUUGGCAUUUCGGGCAACACAACUGAAUUAUUGUAGCGAGUUGUGUCGGUACAACCUGAUCCUUUGGGUCAUGCUAGACCUAAGGAGAUAGCCUAUGGUAUUAUAUAUGUAUUAAGAUUUUCUAUCCUUCUGUAUCCAAAAAUGCAAGUGGUGGAAUUCAAAUAUUCAAAUUGGAAGAGCACCCAUCAAUGAACAUAUUGUGAAAGUCUGUGACUAAUCUUCUUCCCCAGGUAACUCCAUGCCUCCAAAUAGUUAACAAAAAUGUUAAUAGGAGACCAUUCUUUCUGGGUUUUUUCUUUCCAUGAAUUAAGGUUUAGCCUUAUUCAUAGUUUAGAAGUAUAUUCCAAGAGGAUAUGGAAUUUUCUCUUUUUUCCCUUCCCUUCCAUUUAAUUAACAAUGGAAAUUUUCAAAUAACUAAGUUGGAAUUAGUUCACAUUCUAACAAAUAAGAUGGUUUGAAAUUUAUUUAGCAUUUACAAAUUGAGAGGCAGCCUAUCCUUUUAUGGAAAAGGAGCGGGUGGUCCUUGUCAUAAGACAUUAGAGAAUAAGAAGAAUUCAAAACUUGUGGUCAAAUUCAAAAUUUGUGGUUGUGGAUGUUUAUUCAAUGUGAAUUAAAAGAUGAGUUUGUUCUUUUAGAAGACAGCUCUUUCACUCACUCUCUUAAAAAAGAGCUCUCUCGCACUCACAGCCUGUGCACAUAAUUUGCUUCUUUUAUAGGUUGAAAAAGCAGUUUAUAUUCUUUAUAUUUUCACAUAUAGGUGAAUUUGAAUCUCUCCCUCUCUGGGAAAAAAUUAUAGGACUGUUGCAUAACACGGUAUCCCAGCCGUUGGAUCUUACAUAUCACUACAAGGAAAGCGGGUUAUAGUUGGGGCCACAAACCCCUGCUAUAGACAAAAAUCCUGCAACUAAUCCCAUUGUUGCGGAAAAAGCUGGUCGUGACAAGAUGUGACUAGGUGGUGUAACCAAAGGCCAUAGUCACGGCCAAUAGCAUUUCCCCCACCAAAGGUGCAAAGAUAUAUAUAAGGCAGCGGCCAUGAGUAGAGUGUGAUUAAAAUUUUCACAUAUAGCUGUGGUUGUGUACCUUCCCCUACUAAAAGUUGUAUAUAGCAGCCAUUUAGUGGUGGUUAAAUUUUGACUGCCACCACAAGUUUUCUUUUCAUAUAUUUAAAAUAAUGCAUUAAAAGAAAUUUUAUGAGAUGAAAUUACUAUCCCACUUUAUAAUAAUAAAACAUUCACAUAUCCCAUUAAAGCUCUAUUGAUAUUUCUAACAUGUUUCAACAUCCCGUUGAAACUCUACUGAUAUUUCAGAUGUGUUUCAACUGUAACUACAUGAGCUUAUUGGAGAAAAAAGAAAAAGAUGAAGGAAAAAAAGGACUGAGUAUAUGAUACCCUUAGAUUGACAGUAGGGCUUGAUAUGUGCCUUUGACACAAAACAGCUCCCAGAUGAGUAUCAAAUUAAAGGCAAAAUCUCUGCUUCAUUAAUGUGGGAGCCCAUUUUUACAAAGAACUCCAUUUUCAAGCUGCAAUGUUCUAGGAUCAAGUGGAAUGGUCCCAGAGGUGAACAAACAAGAGACUCGGCAAAACCAUUAACUUUGAUCGGCAUUGAAACCACUGACAACAUCAACUGAUUCAGUUCCCACUCUUGUACCAGUAGGAGUGGGAGGAGCAGCAACCAUCGUUGGUUUUGAUUCCGCUUGCUUUAGAUUGAUGGUGAGCAAACUGAUUUUUAAGGUAGAUACGGUAUCAUCCUUUGUUUCAGCUGCAUCGCACUUCUCAUUCAUACUACUUCGAUUUAUGUCCUCGGACUUUAGGGAUACCUAAUCAAUGGCAGUGGAAGUAGGCACGGGCUUCUCUAAACUUUGCACAUCAGUCGGCUUGUUUAUCUUCUCUUCACUUGGGGGCUUCUCUAAACUUUUCACAUCAGUCUGCUUGGUUAUCUUCUCUUCACUUCGGGGCAGGUCAAUCACAAAAUCUAGCUUGAAUGCAGGUACAAAGAAUGGGCUUUCAUAGCUUUUAAGAAGCAGCUAGUUUUCUCAUCUUACAUGAUCCUCUAUCGGUUUUCAUAAUACAUAAAGUCAUCAAGUAAAGAUGUCUUUGUUGUGUGAUUUUUGAAUAUUUUCAACAUUUCCAGGCCUUGCUUAAAUCCUGUCUGCAGAAAAUUAGGAUUUAAGAAACAAAAAGCCACAUGUAAGGUCAUAUUUCAAGAAAGCUGGUAUAACUGCAACAAUACAAACCAAAACCAGUGUCCCUAAAACAAUUUUUUAUCACCUAGGCAAGACUAACCUCAUCCAAAUUUACAUUCUUGUUCGCAAAUGUGAAGCAAUAGAAGUUGUAGAUGUGAUGAGGAAAGCUAAAUGGCAGUAGGCAUGCCAUAAAGUUGAUAUGAAAUAAGAUACUGUAGGUGUAAGAUAUACUACAAUAUUCAACUUUUGAAAAGAAAUGCAAGCAACAAUUUAAGUAGAAAGACUAAAUGUACCUCUUGAGUGUCUCUACAAUUAGUCAUUGGCUUAAUGUCAUGGUUCUCUAGUAUGAUGUGCCUAAAGGUGGUAUUUGGUACGUCCUUUAUAAUGUGCCACUUGACAAGGAAGCUUCCACUCCACUUAUUUUGCUGCUAGAAGUCCAUAUCCUUAUGGAAAUCAACAGGGCCAAUCAUCUCUGCAACACCACAGAAUUGGCCACUUGCAUUGACCUGUAUGACAAAAUUGUCCCAUAAGCAGGGCCGGUGCUGAAAUCAUAUAAUCAAAAAGCAGAAAAUAUAGAGAUGCAAAAUCAAAUUAGGAGAGGAGAAAGGGUAAAACCCAAUAGUCUUGCAAAAACCCAAUAGAUUAUCAUUGCUUAUAUGUGUAUUUAUCCUUCAAUGCUCAAGGCAAAAAACAGUUGAACCUAGUGUUAUGCAUACCUAAAUAAAAACAAUUAUUAGGUUUCCUUCCCUUUUUAUAUUUCCUUCAUUUUUCCAUUCCCUUGGUAAUCCAUUUCCUUGCCAUUUGGAGAUUACAGUCAUAUAGAAAAAUCCUUCCAAUCACUAAUCAUGUGUCAACUUCUAUAUUUAUCAUUGCUAAUUUAAUUCAUUUAGGAAUAACCACUAACCAAGUACUCAUUUUGGUGUAAAAGAAGACUUGAGAAACCCUAGUGAAGCGAUUACUAUUUUUUAUAUUCAAAAGGCGAAAACAAUCAAUAAAAUAAUAACCUAAGGAAGCCAUAAUAGGUGACAUGAGCACCAUUGUAGAAAGCCACACAGUCCUUAGUGAACAUGUCGUUUAUGCACGAUACCUUGGCGUACACAGACUCUCCUAGUCCUCUGUUCCCUCUAUAGUCACAAAGUUAUUGCUCUCAUUUAAUCAUGUUUUGAGGUCAGAUAAGGUGGCAAUACAUAGUAAUGCAGUUAUGUAAAAAUGAGAUUAAGAUAGAAAUAAGUAGCUCUAAAUUCUAGUGCAGCUAGGAUGAACUCAAACCCCUCAGUUGACAUGUAGUAGGGGAAGCUAUUUCUCGUCCAUCCGAGAUUGAUUCCGAAAUAAACCUGGAAAUAUAGGUGACUAGCAUCAAACCAUACAUUCUAAGUGCACCACAGUUUUGAGUACCAUAGGGGGAAAUGGGAUAUUUACCUUUUGGAUGGCAGAUCUGAAUGCAAGGAUCGAGUCUCAUGCCCCUUGAGCAAGCUGUGACUGUAGGAACCAGCAUAAGCACCCCCACCUCGAGCUUGGAUGCCAAACAGGUCGUUCAGGAGCUUUGCAACAAAAGAUCCAUGAAGAGGCUUACCUCUUUUAUUCCCCACCUCUCUCCACAUGUAAAUUUUCCCUUUAUUUCCUUUCUACUACUAUUAGUUCUAUAUUCAUUUUCCAUGCCAUCUGAGUCAGAAUUGGCGACCGAGUAAACAAAGAACUGGCAUAUGACUACAAAAAAAAUUGAUUUUAUGACAAAUUCUACUUCACACUUUAUCCUAUGACAAUAUCACAGAAAAAUUUUGGUAUUCUAUCAACAAUAAAUUGUUUACUUCAUGUUUCAUUAACAAAACCUAAAAAGUUAUUAACUAUUCAAUGUAUGGCCCUUCAAAAUUUUCAAACAAAAGAGUUAGCCUGAAGAAAACCUUCAUAAUUUGAAAUAAUAUCCAUCCAACAUAAUAACAAAAAUAUCAUGAAUUUUAGAUAGUUAGUAAUAUGAGCUCCCAAAGUUACAGAAACUCAAAGAAUGAUACAAAGCAAAAUCAAAUUCCAUAAGAAACAAAGAAAGAGCAACACGUACAAAUAGACAAAAAGAUGAAUGAAGCUAACUUUGUUGAAAUUGGACACCUAACAAUUGAAGAGAAUUAUAGAAAUAUGCAACACACACAAAAUAAAAUAGAAUGAGAUACUCUGUCAUGCAAAGAAAAAUCAAACGAAAAUCCUCAGGAAAAAAUGUAGGAAAAGAAAUCCUACUUUCCAGAGAAAAAUUCUUUCAUUACGCAAUAGGAACUUAGAGAGAAAUUGUGGUUUUCAGAAGUGAGAAAUAAGAGAGAAAUCUGGUGUGCACUUGCAAUGGAAAUCAGAGUUAAAUCAUAGAAAAAUUAGAGAGAAACUAGAAAGAAAUUGUACCUUGGGAAGAUAUUAGGUGUGGUUUUUGUAGUGAGAAAUCAGAGAGAAAUUGCCUUGGGACAUCACACCAUAGAGAAAUCGGAGACAAAUAUGCUCUGCUGGCUAGGUUCUUGAAGUCUCAAAGUUAGAGAAGAUGUCUUGAACGAGAUGCUUUGUAGUUGGGUACUGGGACAUCUAUAAGAGUGGGGGAGCCCUAACAUCCCAAUAUCCGCAGGCAAGCCAUCAAACUAUAUAGAUGAUGACAUACUUUGGCUGCAACUAUAUAUUAAUUUUCAUUGCAAUUUUUUAAAACCUCUACUAAAACUUUGUGACUAUAAGAUAUAUUUCUUGUAGUGUAUAUACACACAUUUCCAUCACUAUAUUUAGUUGAAAAAAUAUUUAAGAAUGUAUGAAUAUUUUAAAAUAGUAAAAUAAAAAAAAAUAUUGUAAUAUUAGAGAAAAAUAUAUUUAUUUCAUGUAGAAGAUGAUAUGCUAUAACUUGAAAAAAUAAAAUUUAUUUAUUAAAAGGUGAUUAGGUCUUGGAUGGUGAUUAGUUAACAAUUAAUAAUGCAUAUUAUUUACUUAAUUACAAUAUACAAUCAUAUUCUAGUCAUAUUCUAAAGCACAACAAAUUGGGUAAGAAGAGAAUGCAACAUUUGCAGAGUUCCCCGACUCAUGUGUACACACACGAAAAUUAUAUCAGAUUGGGUAGCAUUAAUCUUUCAUACAAACUCUUUUUUGGGUCCUCUCUCAGUUUAUAAAAUUUAUAUAUCCUUCAAACAAUAAUUAAGAGGGUUAUUACCAUAAACAAUGGUGUAUGAUUUUAUUUAUUUUUAUUUACAAAGACAUCACACAGUGCAUAGGGGACAGGACAGACACGAAACACAACACACAAACUAGUAAAUAAUGGGCCCCUUAUUCACAACAAUUGCUUGCCGCUUACCUGAUCCUGAAGCAAUAUAUGAUAGCUUUUCCCACUUUACACACACACCAUAUGAGGAAGCGGAUAAUGUGAACCAACGCAACAAAGGCAAGCAGAGAGAACCACACCAACAAUGAAACCCCAACCACGUAAGUGAUAUCAGGCACCUUGUGUCCCAGUAACAUGGCUUCGGUGUCAUUAUUUGUGGGUGACAUGGCUUCGGUGUCAUCAUUUGUGGGUGCAAUGGCCAGUAUAGAAAACAUGUAGGUGAGAGCCAUGAAUGUUAAUGUUAUCGACAUGAUAAUCAUUAGAAGCCACAUCAAGAUCCUUCUCUUCACGAAAGUACCCCACUCACAACCAGAAAGACUAUGCUUAGCGAAGCAACGAAGUACACCGCGUUGCAUGCCAUGAACAGUCGGUACCCUUCAGGAUAGUUGUGGGCCAUUAUGGAGGUUCCAGCUAACAUCUUCUUACCAUUACUGCCGUCUUUUUCUUCACCCCAAACACCACCGGGAGGAUUAACUGCAGCUUGGAAAGCCAUUCCUGCGAUCAACGUUGCAGCUACCAUCAAGGCGUUACGUUUCUUCAUCGUCCAUUCUUUCUUAUUUUCACGUAUUUUCAUCUCACGGCCUUGCAAGGGUCUCGGUGCUUUUGCUUCUGUGAGAACUGCAGCUGGUAGUGGUGGUGGUGGAGAUAAUUGGGGGUUCUCAAUCACCAUGGUUAUGCCACUUUCUCCCAUGAAUUCGUGACCUAUGCCUGGUAACGCAGGCAAGUUUCUGGAACUUAAAGCUCCAGCUUUAGCUAGAGAUUCUCGGAUCUCCAUACCUUUCAAGUCUCUCGGCAUAUGUUGUAUGAUAUCUAAGGCUGUGAAGCCAUUUCCAUUCACUGCAUUUACUUCCAUUUCAGGUCUCUUCACCAGAUAUUUUGCUGUCUGCAUAGAUUUAUUUGAAAAGCAUUUAUGAACCAAAUUUCUGCUUAAUUAGUUGUCUUAGCACAAUUAGUAUUUUAAAGCUAAAUUUUAUUUUAGAUAUUUUGUCUUAAUACAAAAAUGGAAAAAAGUAAUUUAACUUUUAUCAUAAAUUUGAAAUCUAAUGACGAAUGUGCGAUCAUUCUUAUUUAGAUUUCUAAUUGACUUAUGAUUAAAGAAACGUAUCCUAUCCCAUUCUGAACGGUAGAAAAUUUAAAAGAAAGUAUUAAAGAAAGAAAAAAAAGAUAAUAAAAAUGAGAAAAAAAUAAAUAAAAUUUGAAUUCUAUGUCAGAAAAUGGAGAGUAAAAAGGAACAAAAAAAAUUUGAAGUAUGAUAAAUAAAUAAAUAAAUAAAACCAUUGAAAAAGUUCGACAAAUAGAUCGGUGAGUCAACCAGUUUAAUGCCCACUAGACCAAACCAAAAAGUUAAGUCUAUCCACUCCAUGUCUCGUGAUGGCUCAAAUAUUUGUCUUGAUAUUUGUAGAAUUAUUUUUGAAAAUAAUUUCAAAUAAUUAAAAUAUGUUAUUAGCAAAUAUAUGUUUUAUUAACAAGUUUUGAAAAAACUCUUAUAUGAAAAACUGCUUUUAAAAACAAUCCCCAAACUUUAAAUUUGUUAUCAAUCUUCUUUUGUGUUAUCUUCGCUGCGAAUCUAAGAAUGGAAAUUUUUUACCUCAUACUGUUUCAAGGCUGUAGCGGUAUGUAAAACGGUGUUGCCAUAAUCAUCUUUGGAAUUCACAAACUCCAUCUCUUGCCAAUUCAACUAACAGCUUCAGCGCUCCUAAACGGUUUUGUUUCACAGCGGAAUGCAGAAUGGUCUCGCCUUGAUCCAAUUUGUACCGAGUCACUUGUGGUCGGGCCCCAACCAGCAUCCUUGUGACCUCAACUUCGCCUUUCAUUACCGCCAGAUGGAGGGGCGUUCUUCCAUCCUCAUCACGCAUGAGACAAGCGUCAGGAUUGGAGGACAGCAGUAUGUUAACCCUCUCAACAUAGCCAUUGGCAGAAGCCAAGUGUAGAGGCGAACGCCCCCGCAAAUCCAGCGCCAUGGUCAUGUCUGGUUUGUGAGUAAGAAGAUAGCUUGCGAAGUCGAGGUGACCGAGCAUGGCGGCUACGUGGAGUGGAGUCUCAUUAAAGCAUGUGACUGCAGCUCGAGCAAGAGUGAGUGGGUCUUUUGCCAUCAACCGCUUCAAGGAAUUCACACUUCCGGUUACUAAUGCUUCAUACAGCCUUCUCUCUCUUCCCUCUACGCUAUCCUCCUCUUUUGCUAUUUUCUCAUAUUUCCUUUCCAUUUUUCCUCUCCCAGUCUCCCUUCCUUGAUUGCCAGAUUUUAGCAUUAAUCAUAGAGGCAACUAAGUGUUGGGUCUCUGGCAAACAUGUGUGAUGUUGUUGAUGCUGUGAUUGGCCUGAAAGCUUCACGUCAAUUACGCAAUGGAAAAAAGUCGCCGCCAAUCAAAUCACUUAUUUAUUUCUAUUAAAAUAACCGCCGUCCACCAAGCCACUCGAUUAUGCCUGUGGAAGCAUGUCACUUUCCAUAGCAUCAGCCAACAAGUCAUCAAACCGCUGACUAAAUGUGGUUGGUGAAAAUGUUGAAAAUUCUUAAAUUGAACGUUUUUUUUAAAAACUAUUUUUAAAUUAAAGAAAAAAAAAUAGUUUUUUAAUAUUUUAUAAAAUAAGGAUGUUUAAUAAGUUGUUUUUAAAAAUAAAAAACAAAAAACUUGUUUUGAUAAAUGGUUUUUAAUUUUUUUUUCUUUUGGUUUUAUAAAAAUACUGCUGUUCAAUUGAUAUAAUAUAUAUUGAAUUUAAUCCAAGUCUUAUUAAAAAUGGAAUAGUUUUUUAAUUACAAAUAAAUUAAAAAUAAAUAUUUUUAGUUAAAAAUGAAUAAUAAUAUUAUAAUAAAAUCAUAAAUUAUAUUUUUGUUAAAAAAAAUAUAUUAUUUUAAUAGAUGUUAGAAAUAUAAAGAUAUUAAUAUUUUCUUAAAUUUCUUUGGUUAAAAAUGAAUAAUAAUAAUAAUAAUUUUUAAUAUUAUUUUAUUUUAACUGAAUAAUUAAUAAAGUUUACCUUUAUUAACAUCUGAAUGAGUCAAGUUCUUCAUUUUAUGUAUACAUUAAGUAUUGAGUUAGGAACAUAAUAUUGUAAUAAUUUAUUACAUCGUUUUUUUGAAUUCAAAAUUAUUUUUAAAAUUUUAAAAUUAAUUAUAGAAUUUAAAUUAUUAAUUAUGUCUUACUUAAUUUCUAAUUUAUUUAUCUAAAUUCAAAAAAUAUAUUUGUAUAUAUAUAUAUGAGAAAUAUUAAAGUCAUGACUCAUAAUAUAUCAGUUUUAAUUUAUUGUUUUUUUAAUGAUUAGAUCUAUUUUUUGAGUUCCAAAUUAUUUUUAAAAAUUUGAAUUUUUUGAGUUCCAAAUUAUUUUUAAAAAUUUUAAACUUAUUAAUAAAUUUAAUACAAAGUGUCACUUGAUUUAAAAUUCAUUUUUUUAAUAAAAAAAUUUAUAAAAAUAUAAUUAUGUGUAAAAAUAUAAUAGUUAUUAUGAACCAAAUUUUAUCCAUAAAUUUUUUGUAUUGAUUUUAUUAUUAUUUGAAUUUUAAAUUAUUUUAAAAAAUUAUUAAACUCAUUAAUGAAUUCAAUGCAUAGUCUUAUUUAAUUUAGAAAUUAUUUGCCUAAUAAAAAAAAUCAGAAAAUAAGUAUUUGAAGGGGUUGUUCACGAAUUACCAUAAGCAACGGUAUAAGAUUGGGUAUGUUCUGUGGUGGAUUUGUUAUUGGAUUUUUUUUUUAAAAAAAAUAUUUUGAACAUACGUAAUAUGCCUUUAUAGUAAAUAUGAAUUGAAAAAUUAAUAAUUGAUAAAAUAAGGAUAAAUUAUAUUAUUAUGAUUAUUAUUAUUAUUAUAUUUAUAUUAAUAAUGUCAUAUGAAGGUUUUUUCCUAUCAAAUGUGUAUCCAAUACAUGAAAAGGUGUCCAUAAAGAAGGUACAAGGAAUUAGGAGUUGGCGGCUAUUUGAUCAAUGCACAUCCUCCGAGCUGCCCAGCAACUUUUAUUUCUGCCUUGACUUUAUGUAGCAGAAAUGCAGUGUCUCAGCUGGCAAGCCCUAAAUCCACUAUUGUGACAAAUUCUUUGCUCUACGCUUUGUACAUGGUAUGUGUUUUCUGGAGACACCCAAUAAAAAAGGAAUGAACAAAGACAGAUUGUAAACUAUAUUUUCUUGAAACCUCCACCAAUGGAAGAUAUGUUGGUAUUUUUAUCAAGAUUUUCUAUCUUUUAUAUCCAGAAAUGCAGCUGGCGGAGUGUAAAGAUUCAAAUUGGAAGAACGCCCAUCAAUGGACAUACUGUACAACUAAUUUUCUUAUCCAAGCAAUUCUAUGUGUCCUGAUGAUUAACAUAAAUGUCAACGAGAGAUAAUUAUUUUUGGAUUUUUCCUUUCCGUAUUAAGUUUUAUGUUGAUUCUAAGUCAAUUGGAGUCAGAUCCAUCCAAUUUUAUGGAGAUUAGACAACUUUCCUUCCUUUCUUGUGCCUCUCAUAGAAUCCGCCCAGCAGUGGUGAAACUGGGUGAACUCCUUUCCUACAUAAAAGGAUGUACGGACGGAUGGUCCGGACACACCUCUCCGAAACUUAAGUCAAGCAAAGAUAAUUCAAACUACUUAGUGAGAGAGAAAGUCAAUGUACAUAUGUGUGUGUACUUUGUUUGUGCUUCCUUGAGGGUUUAUAUAAUGUUGAUGAAAAUGUCAAUGUAGUGUUAUCUAGGCACUUUGACUUUUUUCUGUAAUGAUGAUUGUCCUGCAGGCAGGUGGGCAAUCAUCAUAAUUUUGGGUGGCUGGCAAGUGCCAUCAGCUGACGUGCUAGGGUCUUGGACCGUGCAACCGUCUGUCCUCUCAACCUAUUGAUGGUCUAGAGUUAUGUGAAACAAUUAAUUAGCAUGGACUUGAGGGCUAAAAGAGGUCUCAUCGGCCGUUCAUAUGUCCUUACGCAUGUUAGUGGGUCUUGAAGACUUGAUUGGACAGUCCUACGGGUUUGGGGAGUCUGACCUCCCCUUGUCGUCUGGCCCUGUAAAGAGAAAAGGGUCUUCUAAUGCAUGAUGUCAGAUAGAACUGGUUGUGAUCCAGAUAGAAUGGUCCGGACGGGUUGUGUACCCCAUGCUGAACAGUUAAGGAAUCUGGAUUGGAAAAGAGACACGUGGAGGGGAGCCCUCCACAUUUUAACAGCACAUGGACUUUUCUCCCUUUUUUUUCUCUUCCAUUCCCUUUCAUUUGAUCAGCAAUGAGAAUUGUCAAACAACAUAGUUGGCAUUAGUCCACACGCAUUCUAGCAAAUAAUAUGAUUUGAAAUUUAUUCCAUCAUUGUCUAAAGACAUUAAAGAAGAAUAAGAAUUUAAACCGUGUGGAAAAUUCAUAAUUUAAAAACACCAUCUAUGAUUUGGACUAAAGUAGAAUUAUCAUAGGAAAUUAAAUUUGGGUUGGUAAGAUGUCUAAUUUCGUUCAAAGGCACUGAGAUUUUAAGUUUCAUCUGGAUAUUGUAGCAAAAUUUCAUUCAAAUAUCAUCUCUUGGUAUAAAAACUAACAAACUGAUUUAUGACAAAUGUGCUUCAUAGACAAUAUCUAUAUACACUGCUUUGGUCUUGCAAUGAAUUGGUAAGGAUUUGGAAUUUUGUUGGAGUCAAAAGUCCACCAAUUUUUAAGUUGUUAAAGAGAUAAUUUUUUUAUUUCUUUGCUACAAAGUAGCCCAUAAUAUUAUUAUUUAUAUGGAAAAUUAAAUGAGUUUUGAGAUAGUAAUUAACAUAUUAGGUAUUACUAACUGGAUUUGUUUUAAUGGAAUCAAACUAAUCUUAAUCUGCAUGGGAGAAAUAUUAUCGGGUAAACUGUAGGAAGACUUUUUCUAAGGGUCCUUUUUAUUAAAUAAGUCAAAAAGAAAUUUAAAUAUUUUAUAACAACAUCAAAUAAUAGAUUAACUUCGAUUUUGUAAGAGAAUAUUUUAAAUAAUUGUGGAGGAUAAUUUUGUAGAUGAAAGUUUUUUAAUUAUUUAUAUAUAUAAAAAAAAGAAUAAUUUUAAUCCACUUAAUGAAAAAAAUAAAAAUGAAAGGAAAAUUAUUAUUUGAGUGUGUAAAUUUAUUUAAAUAAAAAAUAGAAAAGAAAUUAAUUUUUCUAAUGAAUCACUUAUUAAGAAAAUGCACUAUUAGUCGGUUAAAGUAGUAGUGGUUAAUAUGUGAAGUUGUAAAUUGGGGUCACUGUGGAAAUCUUUUAAGUCAAUCACGCUGUGGAAAAAUGCGUCGUCUAUCAAAUCACUUACUUAUUUCUGUGGAUUUGCUUGUACAGAAGUCUACGUGAAAAGAAUGUUGAAAAUUCCCAAGUACUUCCCCGAACUUCACCUGUUUCUCUUACGAAUGAUUGCCUGUAUGAUUGAUGCUAGAUUGAGAGGGAGGAUGGAAAGGUGAGAGGGAGAAUGGACAGGAAAUUUGAGGAACAACAUCUAAUGAGAAAAAAUGAGGAAGUUUAUAAUCAGAGUGCACGGGGAAGAGAGAAAAGGUUGUACGAAGCAUCUGUGGAUGGAAGCGUGAAUUCCUUGAAGCAGUUGAUGGCGGAAGAUCCACUCUCUCUGGCCCGAGCUUCAGUCACUUGCUUUGAUGAGACUCCACUCCACAUAACCGCCAUGCUUGGUCACCUUGACUUGGCAAAAGCACUUGCUUCUCACAAACCAGACAUGGCCAUGGCGAUAGACUUGCAGGGGCCUUCACCUUUGCACUUGGCCUCUGCCAAUGGCCAUAUUGAGAUUGUUAACAUGUUGCUGUCAUUGAAUUCCAAUAAAUGCCUCAUCUACGAUGAGGAUGGAAGAACACCCCUUCAUCUGGCGGUGAUGAAGGGCCACGUUGAGGUCACAAGGGAGUUGGUUAGGGCCCGACCAGAAGUCACUGGGCACAAAUUGGAUCACGGGGAGACCAUUCUGCAUUCUAGUGUGAGACAUAAUCGUUUAGGAGCCCUGAAGAUGUUAGUUGAAUCAGUAAGGAAGGCUGAGUUCAUCAAUGCCAGUGAUGAUUAUGGCAACACUGUUUUGCUUACUGCUACAACCUUGAAGCAGUUGGAGGUAAAAUUUUCGUCAAUUCUUUAGGCUCUUAUAUAUACCAAUUUGUGUAGUGAAGAUAACAUCACCAUAUUCAUUCUCAAUCUAAUUAACUAGACUACUAUAUAUUGAUCAAUCUGUGCAGACUCUAAGGUAUCUGCUCAAUGGAAAUAUGGUGGAAGUCGAUGCAGUGAAUGGAAGUGGUUUGACAGCUUUAGAUGUCAUUGAACAUAUACCAAGAGACUUGAAAUCCAUGGAAAUCCGAGAGUCACUUUCAAAAGCUGGAGCUUUAAGUGCCAGAAAUAUCGUACCUGUCAGAUAGCCCUGGUGAUCAAGAAGUCUCAAUUAGAUUCUGUAGCACAACCUCUACAUUUUCUUCCAACAGUAUUAAUUUAGGAAACGCCUUUUCAAUAUGAUUAAUGAUCUUCCAACAAUAUUUGAGGUUGUGACCGGAGCUGCAAAGAAACAAGUGAAGGAGAAGUCAUCAGUUUCAAACCAUAGCAGCAACAAAUCCAAGUCAAAAUCAAAAGUGGUAAGUUUUUUUGGGAGAAUUGUGCUUUGAGGUCAGUUUGGGACUGAUAAAUGAUAAAUGAAUGAGGAGUAUUAGUUAUCUAGUGUCAAAUAUUGUCUUGACAUGUUCACAGCUGGGGAUAAUUGAACUAGUAAGGUGUCCACUUAUGGUAACUCACUUUUAUGACUAAUUCAUAUAUGAGCUUCAAUUUAGAUAUUUGAAUGUCAAUUUUUAGCUCGACUAUCAUAGCCUGACAUGACUAUGAUAUCGAUGAUAUCUUUCCUUAUUAAUGUAUGUAGCAAAAACACAAAUAAUAUUUUUACUUUGCCCUGUCUGGAUUAUGCCUGCCCUCACUUUGUUUACAUGUUGCUGUCACAUUACUGUAUCCAUUCUGGAAACAAAACAGAGAGGAUCUGAAUCAGCUAAAUAUUCAAAGGUUGGGCAGCCAAAGGAUGAGGAAGAAGGUUUGGAUGAGGUAGAUGAGGAGGAGCAUGGAGAUACCUUGUGUGGUGCUUGUGGAGAGAACUAUGCUUCAGAUGAGUUCUGGAUAUGCUGCGACAUAUGUGAGAAAUGGUUCCACGGAAGUGUGUGAAGAUCACCCCUGCGAGGGCUGAGCACAUCAAACAGUACAAGUGCCCCUCAUGCAGCAACAAGAGAGCAAUGCCUUGAUAUAUCCCAUUUGAGGUGGGCAAAUUCUCGCCUUCUGUAAUUCCUGUGUUGAACUCAACUAACUGUUUAGUUGGUCAGAUUUUCUCUUUCUUGCUCUUUUGUCACGGUAGAUGUAUUGAAUACUAUGGUCUUAGGAAUGUUGUUAUUUGGAUGUACUCUAGUCUGCGGGUCGUGAAACAUGUUCUUUUCUAUUCUGAAUUGGAAUAUAUAUUAGUUUCUUCUCUACAGAAAAACAUCUGUACCUUAGGUGUGGUAGGCAUUGUUUAUCGUCCUCCGUUCUGUUCACAGAUAUGAAGUCUUCCGCAUUUUUACUUUCGUUUUAUUGGAUUUGAUGGCAAAAUACCCUAGAGUGCCUGCAUUUAGAAUGAUCUUAUGAUCUAGAAAUGGUAAACUGAGGCCAUUGCAUUAACAAAAUCAAUAGGAAGCACAAUGGAAAUAGGUGUAUGAAUACCACUUUUGCAGAAAAUCUAUAGUUCCCUUUCCAGUUCCCACCCAACAACCAAACUUCUGAUCCCUCUCUAGGUCUCUUGACACGUUUUUUCAGCUGGAUGCUUCUUGGUGAAUGCAUUCACACUACCCUUUCUUCGAAAGGGUCAUGGGUGUUUACCAAAUUGUCUCUUUUUUUAUUUUUUAUUUAAUACAUAGACCUUGAGACUCUCGAAUCCAAAUCUUUGGAUGCUGAUUGCAUCCAUCAUAACCAACAUCGGAUAAUCCACGGAAUUCAAUCAGUUGCAGGAAUUAAACACUGGAUCCAAUCCACAUUCAGCAGGGUGUUCACCUAACAUUUGACCCAAAACCCAACUCCAUAAUCUCACAGAUUGAGAACAAAUUCUAUUGUUAUCACAUGUAUACGCAUCAUUGUUGUUAUGGUGUUCUGGAUAGCCCUCAUAUUGGGGUUUUGAUUAUAAUUAGAUGGUUUAGUAGGGUAUUAUACAUGCGGUGAAGGACUUAUUACUUUCUUUGGUCAGCUGGAAAAAAGCAGAGAGUGGGGUUGAUGGUGGCUACUUUUUCUGAUGUCUGGUAGAUGGUGAUGGUCGAGUCAAUGCACUAAGAAAAAGGAGGUCCAAGUCAUGUAAAGCAUUCAUGUAUAUAAAUCCUCUGGAAGCUUAGAAUUAAAAAAUCCGAUUCAGUGGUUGUUACGAGUCUUAUGACCAUUAAAAAAUAAAAAAUAAGGUGUCAUGGAGACACAUCUCUGGCAUGCUACAAACAUGUUCUUCAUGCCAUGCUCUACCUUUGGAAUAUCAAUUGGGAAAAAACAUGUCUCAUACCACGUUUUACAAAUAUUUUUAUUUUUCAGUAGUUUACCAUUGAUGAAAUACUGCUUCAUAAUUGAGGGAAUUUUUUUUAAAGUGAUUUAUUUUAAUAUCGAUUCUAUAGAUGCAUUUAGGUUUUUUUUUUUUUUUUUUUUUAUUUUUUCAAAGUGAUUCUUCAUCACAGCAAUUUGCCCAAUUUUUCAGUAAACUUUUAUGAAUGCUAUGCUUUGUUAAUAGUUUGAAAGAAAGAAAAGACUGAGGAAAAAAAAAAAAAAGUAAAAAACUUUAAAAUAUUUUUUUUUUUUUUCAGAAAGUUAAUUGUCAAUGAAUAUAUUUUCAUCAAACUUUUUUCAUAAUUUUUUAAAGAAAAAUAGAGAAAGUUUUUAAUAUUUCUUUUUCUUUUUUUAGAAUUUUUUAUUUAUAGUAUUUAAAUACCAAAAAAAAAAAUCUUAAUAUUUUCAUUCAUUUUUUUAGUAUUUUUCAAGAAUCAAAACUAACUUAAAGAUUCUAUAUGAAUUCCAUAAAUAGAAUUCCUUAUUGUUUUCCCAAUUUAAUAAGCUUGACAAAUGGAUGCAAGUAUAAUCACUAGGAUUUCUUUAUAAUAAUUGUUCUUAAAUAUGUUACUUUUCUCUGUAAAUAAGGUAUGGUAGAGAUUUUUUAAGGGAAAAAUAAAUGCAUAAAUGAAUAUAUAUUUAUGAAUUCUUUUCACAUAUUAUACCCACCAAUGCCCUAAAAUCCUCAGGGUUUCUUUUUAAGGUUUGUAACAUGAAGCCCAUCAUUUUAGUCUUAAUGUCUGCUAGUUGUUUACAAACAUAAAAUUUGACACAAGAAAUCUUAAAAUUGACAGUUUUAUAAAAAUAGCUAACCCAAAAUACCAUUUUUAUAUCCAAUAAUAUCUAAUGGGAUUCUACAUAGAUUUCAUCAACUCUCCUACAUUCAAUAAUACAUGUCCUUUUUGUAAGCUAAAAUAGCAAAAGUAGCUUCCGACCUUCUUCCAUUCAAUGAAGCUAAUCUUUUCUAUCCACAACCCCUGCUUUUCUCCUUUUCCACAAAGACUAGACCAUGGAAGUUGUCUCGCAGCCUGCAUUGACCCUGGCCUAUAAAUAGAUGCCACUCAUCCCAUCCAACCCAUUAACCCAUCUGCAAUCCACACACACCUUGCUCUCCAGCUCUCCUCUCUCUUCUAGAGUUGUUUUUGGACACAAUGUCUAUGUCUAUCAAUGGUGUUUCUCCUUCAUUUCAGAGCUUUCGGCCUCCCACUCUCCCUCUACCUGUAGAGGAAGAGAACCCCUUCUGCAUAUUGGGGGAAUCUCGUCAUGUACUGGCUCCACCGCACUGGAAGAAGGCUGCUGAGGCCCUACAGUGUGGUCAUUUUGAUGAGGUGUGCGCCAUGGUGUCGCAGUUUGCACAUGCGCAAACUGUGGAUAUUCAGGGCACGGCUCUCACAGUGGCCCAGGUCACUGCUCUUGCACGUGGGGAUCAUGUUAGGGUCGCUCUCGAUGAGGCGGCGGCCCGAGGCCGCGUGACGAGGAGUGCUGAUUGGGUGGCUGAGAACAUCUCUCGGGGCACGGAUACGUACGGGGUGACUACUGGCUUCGGUGCCACUUCCCAUCGGCGGACCAACAAGACCGCUGAUCUUCAGACCGAGCUGAUUCGGUUUCUCAACGCUGGAGUGAUCGGGAAGGAGACUCUUCCGGCGAGUUUCUCCAAGGCUGCUAUGCUUGUUCGAGCGAAUACUUUGAUGCAAGGGUAUUCGGGCAUUCGGUGGGAGAUACUUGAGGCCAUGGCCAAGCUGAUAAACCUCAAUUUGAUCCCUAAACUGCCUUUGAGGGGGACCAUCACUGCUUCUGGGGACCUUGUGCCAUUGUCUUAUAUUGCUGGAGUAUUAACUGGGAGGCAUAAUUCCAAGGUUGUGACGCCUGAGGGGGAAGAAAUCACGGCCAUGGAAGCUCUGAAGAGAGCUGGAAUUGAAGCUCCUUUUCAGCUGCAGGCGAAGGAAGGUCUGGCUCUUGUGAAUGGGACUGCUGUUGGGUCAGCGGUGGCCGCAACGGUUUGUUUUGACGCCAACAUCUUGGGGCUCCUUGCGGAGGUUCUGUCUGCCUUGUUCUGUGAAGUGAUGAAUGGCAAACCUGUUUACGGAUCCACUGACUCAUGAGCUGAAACACCAUCCUGGCCAGAUUGAAUCAGCUGCUAUAAUGGAAUUUCUUCUUGAUGAAAGUGACUACAUGAAAGCAGCAAAGCUUCGUCAAGAGAAGGAUGUGUUGAUGAAGCCUAAACAAGACCGGUAUGCGCUCAGAACUUCUCCCCAGUGGCUGGGGCCUCAGAUUGAGGUGAUUCGCAUGGCAACACAUUCAAUUGAGAGGGAAAUCAAUUCAGUCAACGACAACCCUUUGAUCGAUGUCUCUCGGGACCUUGCUCUUCAUGGAGGGAACUUCCAAGGGACCCCUAUUGGUGUUUCCAUGGACAAUCUCCGGAUUGCCAUUGCAGCAAUUGGGAAGCUCAUGUUUGCUCAAUUCUCCGAGCUGGUCUGCGACUAUUAUAAUGGUGGGUUGCCUUCCAAUUUGAGCGGCGGCCCCAACCCGAGCUUGGACUAUGGCUUCAAAGGUGCUGAGAUAGCCAUGGCUGCCUACUGCUCCGAGCUUCAAUACCUGGCGAACCUGGUCACAACACACGUGCAGAGCGCUGAACAACACAAUCAGGAUGUGAAUUCUCUGGGAUUAAUCUCUGCAAGGAAGAGUGCUGAAGCAGUGGAGAUCCUAAAUCUCAUGUCUGCAACUUACAUGGUGGCACUUUGCCAGGCAGUUGACCUGAGACACCUAGAAGAAAACAUGAGGGAAGUAGUGAAACAUCUCAUCACCCAAGUAGCAAGAAAAACCCUUUACACAGAUGAAGAUGGGACGCUGCUAGAAUCUCGUUUCUGCGAGAAAGAACUCCAGCAGGUCGUCGAAAACUUGCCAGUCUUCUCCUAUAUCGACGAUCCCACUAAUCCUUCAUACACUUUUUUGCCUCAACUCCGAGAUGUACUAGUUGAAAGAGCUCUCAAAGACCCCAAAUCCACUAACUCUGCAGGCUAUUCCAUUUUCAAGCGCAUCCCCAUAUUUCAAGAGGAGCUGAAGGAGAGACUGAUUGAGGAGAUAUCAAAAGCAAGAGAAAGGUUUGAUAAUGGAGAUUUCCCAAUACCAAACAGAAUCAAGAAAUGCAGGACUUACCCCAUAUACGGAUUUGUGAGGAAAGAAGUGGGAACGAAGCUCCUUAGUGGUGAAAACAAGGUGAGUCCCGGAGAGGAUAUAGAGAAGGUUUAUGAGGCGAUCAAUGAUGGGAAGUUGGGAGAUGUGCUGAUGAAGUGCUUGUCAUUUUGGAGGGGCACGGCGGGCCCUUUCACGCCGAGGCCUAGUGGAUUGUCUUCUCCGGCGCAGUUUAAUCCGGAGUACUGGGGUUGGUUUGAGAAGCUGAGGUCUCCUUCUUCAGCUUCGAAUGGGAGAGUGAAUUGGGACCGGCUCUGAGUAGAAGGAAGGAAAAGGCAUUAAUUAGGAACAUGACCAUAACAAUUAUAAUGUUUGUUUGUAUGUUUCUGUUGUUGUUUUGUACUGGAAUUUUGAUUCCAGAUUAAAUAAAAUCCAAUUCCGACAAACAUGAUUAUGACUUCAAAAUAUGGAUAAAUCACACUGAAUAUGAGAAUCGAGAAUUUUAUCUAAACAAAAUGGGCCUUGGGCUCGGGAGAGAAAAACCCAAAGGCCAUUUUGUUUUUGCUCCCUUUCCUAACUUGAGCCGUCAAUCAUGUUUUCGAAAAAGAAAAGGAAGAGGAAACAAUACGGCUUAGUUCUCAUAUUUCUUUAAUUUCUUAUAUAUUUCACAUAUAACCUUGACAUACAAUCAAGACCUCAUCAAUUUAAUUAAAACUUAGCACCCAUAUACGUGGCACGACCCUUCCUUUUAGAUUCCAAAAGUCAAUGAUAUGGAUUGGUUCAAAAAUCAAAAUGAUCAUACGACCUUGGUUGUCUUGGUCCCACCUCUAAUCCAAAGAAAAUAUCUAGAUAGAAGGAAUGAUGUUCUUUCUCAAUAGUCUUUCCCAAGUUUACUAAAAUAUUUAAGAACCUAUGAAUAUUUUAAAAUACUAAAAUAAAAAAAUAUUUUAUUGAAAGAUAAUAUUAUAUUAAAGAAAAAUAUAUUUAUUUCAUGUAGAUUAAGAUCAUAUGCUAUAACUUGAGAAUAAUGAAAUUUAUUUAUUAAAAGGUGAUUAGGUCUUGGAUGGUGAUUAGUUACAAUUAAUAAUACAUAUUAUUUACUUAAUUAUAUCAUACAAUCCUAUUUUAGUCAUAUUCUAAAGCACAACAAAUUGGAAGUCCUUUCUAAAGGUAAGAAAAGAAUUCAACAUUUGCAAAGUACCGAGAGUCAUGGGAAACAUACACGAAAAUUAGGUCAGAUUGGGUAGCAUUAGUCUUUCAUACGAACUCUUUUUUGGGUCCUCUCUCAGUAUAUAAAAUUUAUAUAUCCUUCAAACAAUAAUUAAGAGGGUUAUUACCAUAAACAAUGGUGAAUGAUUUUAUUUAUUUUUAUUUAGAAAGACAUCACACAGUGCAUAGGGGACAGGACAGACACGAAACACAACACACAAACCGGUAAAUAAUGGGCCCCUUAUUCACAACAAUUGCUUGCCGCUUACCUGAUCCUGAAGCAAUAUAUGAUAGCUUUUCCCACUUUACACACACACCAUAUGAAGAAGCGGAUAAUGUGAACCAACGCAACAAAGGCAGACAGAGAGAACCACAACAACAAUGAAACCCCAACCACGUAAGUGAUAUCAGGCACCUUGUGUCCCAGUAACAUGGCUUCGGUGUCAUCAUUUGUGGGUGCAAUGGCCAGUAUAGAAAACAUGUAGGUGAGUGCCAUGAAUGUUAAUGUUAUCCACAUGAUAAUCAUUAGAAGCCACAUCAAGAUCCUUGUCUUCACUAAAGGUACCCCACUCACAACCAGAAAGACUAUGCUUAGCGAAGCAACGAAGGACACCGUGUUGCUUGCCAUGAACCGUCGGUACCGUCGAGGAUUGUUGUGGGCCAUUAUGGAGGUUCCAGCUAACAUCUUCUUACCCUCACCGGCGUCUUUUUCUUCAUCCCAAACACCACCGGGAGGAUUAACUGCAGCUUGGAAAGCCAUUCCUGCAAUCAACGUUGCAGCUACCAUCAAGGCGUCGAGUUUCUUUUUCGUCCACUCUUUCUUAUUUUCACGUAUUUUCUUCUCACGGCCUCGCAAGGGUGUCGGUGCUUUUGCUUCUGUGAGAUCUGCAGCUGCUGGUGGAGAUAAUUGGGGGUUCUCAAUCACCAUGGUUAUACCACUUUCUCCCAUCAAUAGGUGACCUUUGCCUGGUAACGCAGGUAUGUUUCUGGAACUUAAAGCUCCAGCUUUAACCAGAGAUUCCCGGAUCUCCAUUCCUUUCAAGUCCCUCGGCAUAUGUUGUAUGAUAUCUAAGGCUGUGAAGCCAUUUUCAUUCACUGCAUUUAUUUCCAUCUCAGGUCUCUCCACCAGAUAUUUUGCUGUCUGCAUAGAUUUAUUUGAAAAUUAAGCAUUAAUGAACCAAAUUCCUACUUAGUUGUUUUAGCACAAUUAGUAUUUUAAAGCUAAAUUUUAUUUUAGAUAUUUUGUCUUAAUACAAAAAUGGAAAAAAGUAAUUUUUAACUUUUAUCAUAAAUUUGAAAUCUAAUGAUGCAUGUACCAUUAUUCUUAUUUAGAUUUCUAACCGACUUAUGACUAAAAAAACGUAUCCUAUCUCAUUCUGAACGGUAGAAAGUUUAAAAGAAAGUACUAGAAAAAAGAAAAAAGAGAUAAUAAAAACGAAAAUAAAAUAAAAAAAUAAAAUAUGAAUUCUAUGACAGAAAACAGAGAGUAAAAUGGAAAAAUAAAAUUGAAGGAUGAUUAAAAAACCAUUGAAAAAGGUCGGCAAUUACAUCGGUGAGUCAACCAAUUUAAUGCCUACUAGACCAAACCAAAAAGUUAAGUCUAUCCACUCCAUGUCUAAGGAUGGCUCAAAUAUCUGUCUUGAUAUUUGUAGAAUUAUUUUUCAAAAUAAUUAAAAUAUGUUAUUAGCAAAUACCUGUUUUCUUAACAAGUUUUGAAAAAACUCUGAUAUGAAAAACCGCUUUUAAAAACAAUUCCCAAAGUUUAAAUUUGUUAUCAAUCUUCUUUGUGUUAUCUUCGCUGCGAAUCUAAGAAUGGAAAUAUUUUUACCUCAUACUGUUUCAAGGCUGUAGCGGUAUGUAAAACGGUGUUGCCAUAAUCAUCUUUGGAAUUCACAAACUCCACCUCUCCUGCCAAUUCAACUAACAGCUUCAGCGCUCCUAAACGGUUUUGUUUCACAGCGGAAUGCAGAAUGGUCUCGCCUUGAUCCAAUUUGUACCGAGUCACUUGUGGUCGGGCCCCAACCAGCAUCCUUGUGACCUCAACUUCGCCUUUCAUUACAGCCAGAUGGAGGGGCGUUCUUCCAUCCUCAUCACGGAUGAGACAAGCGUCAGGAUUGGCGGACAGCAGUAUGUUAACCAUCUCAACAUAGCCAUUGGCAGAAGCCAAGUGUAGAGGCGAACGCCCCCGCAAAUCCAGCGCCAUGGUCAUGUCUGGUUUGUGAGUAAGAAGAUAGCUUGCGAAGUCGAGGUGACCGAACAUGGCGGCUACGUGGAGUGGAGUCUCAUUAAAGCAUGUGACUGCAGCUCGAGCAAGAGUGAGUGGGUCUUUUGCCCUCUACGCUCUCCUCCUCUUCUGCUCUUUCCUCAUAUUUCCUUCCCAUUUUUCCUCUCCCAAUCUCCCUUCCUUGAUUGCCAGAUUUUAGCAUUAAAUCAUAGAGGCACAGAGACGACGACUUGAGGAUAUUUAAUUAUUUCAUAUCAGCUAUUCAAAUUUGUGGUUAUGAGUUCAUCUUAUUUUCCUAGUCUACUAAAUAAAUUAAUAAGAAUUCAACAUGAGUUCAUCUUAUUUUCUUAGGUGGUGUUUGUUUUUUGGCUGAAUAGAAAAAGCCAAAAUAUUUGACUUUUUCUAUUCAGUUAAAAGUAAUUUGUUAACAUCAUUUAAUAUAACUAAAAUGAACUUAUUAUCAGUAUGUUCAAUUUAGUCAUAUUAAAUGAUGUUAAUAGGUUUUUUUAGCUUAAUAGAAAAAGUCAAAUAUUUUGGUUUUUUCUAUUUAAUCAAACAACAAACACCACCUUAGUCCAUUAAAUAAAUUAAUAAGAAUUCAACAUUUACAUAAAUCUCAAACUGAAAAUAUUUUAUUCGGAAAUUGGAUUUAUUGAAUUAAAAAAAUUUUCCUAUAUAAAACCAAACAACCAAAUCUAACCAAUGAAGUGGAUGUAUUCGGUGGAAUUGGGUUGGUCAUAUCAUUAUUAUCAUUUUUGUGGGGGAAAAAAGAAAUGCUUUCCUUCCACUUAAUUCCUCCACCUGGUUUUUGGAAUAAAGAUAUAUAUAGGACUCAAAAAAGAGAUGAUAUAUAUAGGUGGCUAAUAUAUGAAGUUGUGAUUCUUGUGAAUGGGGUCCUUCACCGUGAAAAUCUUUGAGUCAAUCACGCUAUGGAAAAAUGCCGCCCCCUGUCAACUCACUUGUUUAGCAUCAACACCAGCUUUGUUGCGGUUGGUUGGUCUUGUACAAAAGUCUUGCUAAUUUUAACUACUUCCGACGACUUCACCUGUUUCUCUUAGUGGAAGAUACGUUUGUAUCUAUGUCAAGAUUUUCUAUCAGAAAUGCAGGCGGUGGAAUGCAAAUAUUCAAAUUGGAAGAGCACCCAUCAAUGGACAUACUCUAAUGCUACAUUUAGUUUUCACAAAAUACCAAGAAAAAAAAAAUCCUUUUUCAUGUCUAGCUUUGAAAAAUAUAAAAUAUAUUUAUAUAUUUUAAAUAUAUAUAAUUAAAAUUAAUUAUAAAUUUACAUAUUGUAAAAUUAUUUCCCUUUUUUAUAUUUUAUUUUACUAUAAAAUGCAAAGAAAGUUAUAUAUGAUUAAAAUUAAUAAAAAACUUAUAUAUUUUUAAAUUAUUUAAUCUUUAGGUAAAAUAGUUUAAUAAAUGAAAAAAGUUUGAAGUAUAAUAUAAAAUAACUUUUUUUUUUUUCACUUUUUCUUUUAUUUUACUUUUUUUUUUUUUUUGUUUCUUUUCCUUCAAAUAUUAAAUCAUUGAUCAAUUCACUUUUUGAGCAUGUGAAAAUUUAUUUUAAUAGAAAUAGUUAUGAUUUUAAUAAUUUGUGAUUCGAUCCAUUUCAUUAAGGAAAUAAUAACCCAACUAUUUGGUAAAGAUGCCAAAAGAAUUAGAGCAUGAACCUUACCAUAGAAAUCAAUUUCAACAUAUGACAAUUGAUUAAAAAUCAUGUUGAACUCAUUGAAAUGUGUUACCACUUAAGCACCUUCUCCCAUUUUUAAAUGAAACAAUUUCUUCAUGACAAAUACCUUAUUAUUCAUAGGUGACUUCUAAUACAAGUGAGAUAAUACCUUUAUUAAUCCCAUGUCAAAUUCUCAUUUGCUACGUUAUGGACAACAUUAUUUGACAAUGUCAAUCGAAUAACUCCCAACACCCUAUCAAGGAAACCCCAAUCACCAUUCGACAUCCUUUUUGGUUUUGUUUCUAAAAGAGGUGAAUGAAGUUUCUUAUCGUAUGGAUAAUCUUCGAUUUGCAUUCUCCAUAAAACAAAAUUUGUACCAUCAAACUUUUCAAUUCCAUGUGUUGAACCAUCUUUAUUAGCCAUCACUCUCAAUCACAAUAAAAAACUUUGAUACCAGGAUUAAAAUCAUGGUUUUAAAAAUUGGAUCGGACCAGCCAAUCUGAUUGACCGAUCACAAUUCCAAUUCGAUCCUAUCAAUUGGGUCGGAAAGUAGUCGAAUCGGAAUUAAAUUGGUUGAAUCUACCGUUCGACUGGGGAACCAAACAAACCAAAUGAUUUGAAGGGAAUCAUUUGAUUAGCAUUUUUUUUUCAACGACGCCUCCUGCUAAGUUGUUGGAAAGUCCGCCCUUUCUCCUCCCUUCCUUUUCAUAUUUUUUAUUCUUAUUUUUAUUCUUUACCUCAUGUUAUUAUUAUUAUUUUUUUAUUUUUUUAUUAUUAUUUUACUUUACGACUUUAUGAUUUUAAAACAAUUAAAUUUCAUUCAAAAAGUUCUCCGAAUAUUUUAAGUUGUUAAAGAGAUUAUUUAUUUAUUUCUUUGCUACAAAAAUAGUCCAUGAUAUUAUUGAUUGUAUAUAUGGAAUAUUGAAUGAGUGUUGGAAUAGUUAGCGUGUUAAGUAUUACUAACUGGAUUUAUUUUAUGGAAUCAAAAUAAUCUUAAUUGGGAAAAAUAUUUUCAGGGCAAAGAGUAUGAAGAAUUUUUCUAAGAGUACUUUUUCUUAAAUAAGUCAAAAAGAGAGUUAUUUUUAUCAAAUAAUACCAAUCUGAAGAUUAGUUUAAAUAUUUUAUAAUUUUGAAAGAGAAUAUUUUAAAUAAUUGUGGAGGAUAAUUUUGUAGCUGAAAAUAUCUAUUUUUUUAAAAAAAGAAUAAUUUUAAUCCACUUAAUGAAAAAAAUGAUAAUUUUAUUAUUUCAGUGUGUAAAUUUAUUUAAAUAAAAAAUAGAAAAAGAAUUAAUUUUUCUAGUGAAUCACAAAUUAAGGUAAAGUAAUUUUGCUGUAAGAAAAUUCAUUGGAUGUGUAAUUUAAAAAUGGGAGGAUAAAUAUUUAUAUGAAUUACACUUGUUUUAAUUCAAAGAUAAUAGAAAAAGAAAAUGACAAAAUGUACUAUUAGUUAGUUGACUGUGGAAAUAUUUGAGUCAAUCACGGUAUGGAAAAAUGCCGCCAUCAACUCACUUGUUUAUUAUUGGUGAAAAAUGUGGGAGAAUGUCACUAUCUAUAGACUAUAGCAUCUAGUCAUCAACGGCGGCUUUGUUGGAGUUGGUGGGUUUACUUGUACAAAAGUUUAGGUGAAAAGAAUGUUGAAUAUUCUGAAGUAUUUCCGCCGACUUUACCUGUUUCUCUUUUGAAAAUUCUUAACUACUUGGAUGACUUCACCUGUUUCUAUUAAUGCCAAUAUGACUGAUGCUAGAUCGAGAGGGAGAAUGGAAAGGAAAUUUAAGUAACAAUAUCUAAUGUGAAAAAAUGAGGCAGUUUAUAAUCAGAGUAGUAAAAUUUUAAGUUUCAUCAUGAUAUUGUAGCAAAAUUUCAUUCAAAUAUCAUCUCUUCGUGUAAACACUAACAAGUUUAUGACAAAUGUGAAUUCUCUGGGAUUAAUCUCUGCAAGGACGAGUGCUGAAGCAGUGGAGAUCCUAAAGCUCAUGUCUGCAACUUACAUGGUGGCACUUUGCCAGGCAGUUGACCUGAGACACCUCGAAGAAAACAUGAGGGAAGUAGUGAAACAUCUCAUCACCCAAGUAGCAAGAAAAAAGCUUUACACAGAUGAAGAUGGAACCCUGUUAGAAUCUCGUUUCUGCGAGAAAGAACUCCUGCAGGUUGUUGAAAACUUGCCAGUCUUCUCCUAUCUCGAUGACCCUACCAAUCCUUCAUACUCAUUUUUGCCUCAACUCCGAGAUGUACUAGUUGAAAGAGCUCUCAAAGACCCCAAAUCCACCGACUCUGCAGGCUAUUCCAUUUUCAAGCGCAUCCCCAUAUUUCUAGAGGAACUGGAGGAGAAACUUAUUGAGAAGAUAUCAAAAGCAAGAGAAAGGUUUGAUAAUGGAGAUUUCCCAAUACCAAACAGAAUCAAGAAAUGCAGGACUUACCCCAUAUAGGAUUUGUGAGGAAAGAAGUGGGAACCAAGCUCCAUAGUGGCCAAAACAAGGUGAGUCCCGGAGAGGAUAUAGAGAAGGUUUAUGAGGCGAUCAAUGAUGGGAAGUUGGGAGAUGUGCUGAUGAAGUGCUUGGCAUUUUGGAGAGGCACGGCGGGCCCUUUCACGCCGAGGCCUAGUGGGUUGUCUUCUCCAGGGCAGUUUAAUCCGGAGUAUUGGGGUUGGUAUGAGAAGCUGAGGUCUCCUUCUUCAGCUUCGAAUGGGAGAGUGAAUUGGGACCAGCUCUGAGUAGAAGGAAGGAAAAGGCAUUAAUUAGGAACAUGACCAUAACAAUUAUAAUCUUUGUUUGUAUGUUUUUAUUGUUGUUUUGUACUAGAAUUUUGAUUCCAGAUUAAAUAAAAUCCAAUUCCGACAAACAUGAUUAUGACUUCAAAAUAUGGAUAAAUCACACUGAAUAUGAGAGAAUCCAGAAUUUUAUCUAAACAAAAUGGGCCUUGGGCUCAGGAGAGAAAAACCCAAACCCAUUUUGUUUUUGCUCCCUUUCCUAACUUGAGCCGUCAAUCAUGUUUUCGAAAAAGAAAAGGAAGAGGAAACAGUACGACUUAGUUCUCAUAUUUCUUUAAUUUCUUAUAUAUUUCACAUAUAACCUUGACAUAAAAUAAAAUAAUUUUAUGAUAUUUUGUUUCUACGGAAAUUUCUCAUGUUCGGCUUCUGUGAAAAAAUAAAAUAAAAAAUAAAUAUAAUUAAUUUUUUUUAUAAAAUUGAUAUAUUUUAAGUUAUUUAAUUUUUAUGUAAAAACUUUAAAUAAAUAAAGUGAAUUUAAAAUAGAAUAUAAAAAUUACUUAUAUUCUUUCAGAAAACAGCUCUUUCACCCACUCUCUUAAAAAAGAGCUCUCUGGCACUCACAACCUGUGCAUAUAAUUUGCUUCUUUUAUAGGUUGAAAAAGCAAUUUAUAUUCUUUAUAUUUUCACAUAUAGAUGAAUUUGAAUCUCUCCCUCUCUGGGGAAAAAUUAUAGUACUGCUGCAUAACAGGGUAUCCCAGCCGUUGGAUCUUAUAUGUACACACACAUUUCCAUCAUUAUAUUUAGUUGAAAAAAUAUUUAAGAAUGUAUGAAUAUUUUAAAGCACAACAACUUGGAAGUCAUUUCUCAAGGUAAGAAAAGAAUUCAACACACACGAAAAUUAGGUCAAAUUGGGUAGCAUUAAUCUUUCAUUCAAACUCUUUGUUGGGAGGAAUAUAAUUUUUUUUUUUUUUUGGGUCCUCUCUCAGCUUAUAAAAUCUAAAUAUCCUUCAAACAAUAAUUAAGAGACAUCACACAGUGUAUAGGGGACAGGACACUCGGACACGAAACAACCCACAAACCGGUAAAUAAUGGGCCCCUUAUUCACAACAAUUGCUUGCCGCUUACAUUAUGAUAGCUUUUCCCACUUUCCGCACACACCGUACUACUUUCCGCACGCACCAUAUGAGGAAGCGGAUAAUGUGAACCAACGCAACAAAGGCAAGCAGAACUAACCACACCUCCAAUGAAACCCGAACCAUGGAAGUGAUACGAGGCACCUUGUGUCCCAGUGACAUGGCUUCGGUGUCAUUAUUUGUGGGUGACAUGGCUAUUGUGGGUGACAUGGCUUCGGUGUCAUCAUUUGUGGGUGCAAUGGCCAGUAUAGAAAACAUGUAGGUGAGAGCCAUGAAUGUUAAUGUUAUCCACAUGAUAAUCAUUAGAAGCCACAUCAAGAUCCCUCUCUUCACGAAAGGUACCCCACUCACAACCAGAAAGACUAUGCUUAGUGAAGCAACGAAGGACACCGCGUUGCAUGUCAUGAACAGUCGAUACCCUUCAGGAUAGUUGUGGGCCAUUACGGAGGUUCCAGCUAACAUCUUUUUACCAUUACCGGCGACUUUUUCUUCACCCCAAACACCACCGGGAGGAUUAACUGCAGCUUGGAAAGCCAUUCCUGCGAUCAACGUUGCAGCUACCAUCAAGGCGUCACGUUUCUUCAUCGUCCAUUAAUCUUUCUUAUUUUCACGUAUUUUCAUCUCACGGUGUGCUUUUGCUUCUGUGAGAACUGCAGCUACUGGUGGUGGUGGUGUUUGGGGGUUCUCAAUCACCAUGGUUAUGCCACUUUCUCCCAUGAAUUCGUGACCUAUGCCUGGUAACGCAGGCAAGUUUCUGGAACUUAAAGCUCCAGCUUUAGCUAGAGAUUCUCGGAUCUCCAUACCUUUCAAGUCUCUCGGCAUAUGUUGUAUGAUAUCUAAGGCUGUGAAGCCAUUUCCAUUCACUGCAUUUACUUCCAUUUCAGGUCUCUCCACCAGAUAUUUUGCUGUCUGCAUAGAUUUAUUUGAAAAGCAUUUAUGAACCAAAUUCCUGCUUAGUUGUUUUAGCACAAUUAGUAUUUUAAAGCAAAAUUUUAUUUUAGAUAUUUUAUCUUAAUACAAAAAUGGAAAAAAGUAAUUUAACUUUUAUCAUAAAUUUGAAAUCUAAUGACGCAUGUGUCAUCAUUCUUAUUUAGAUUUCUAACCAACUUAUGAUUAAAGAAAUAUUUCCUAUCUCAUAAGUAGAAAGUACUAAAAAAAUGAAAAAGAAAUAAUAAAAACAAAAAAAAGAAAAAUAAAAUAAAAUAUGAAUUAUAUGUGAGAAAACAAAGAGUAAAAAGGAAAAAAAAAUUGAAGUAUGAUAAAAAAAAUUUAAAAAAACCAUUGAAAAAGUUCUGCAAUUAGAUCGGUGAGUCAACCAGUUUGAUGCCCAAUAGAUCAAACCUAAAAGUUAAGUCUAUCCAUUCCAUGUCUCAAAAUGGCUCAAAUAUUUGUCUUGAUAUUUGUAGAAUUAUUUUUGAAAAUAAUUCCAAAUAAUUAAAAUAUUUUAUUAGCAAAUAUCUGUUUUCUUAACUAGUUUUGAAAAAAAAAACUCUUAUAUGAAAAACUGCUUUUAAAAACAAUCCCCAAACUUUAAAUUUGUUAUCAAUCUUCUUUGUGUUAUCUGCGAAUCUAAGAAUGGAAAUAUUUUUACCUCAUACUGUUUCAAGGCUGUAGCGGUAUGUAAAACGGUGUUGCCAUAAUCAUCUUUGGAAUUCACAAACUCCACGUCCUCUCCUGCCAAUUCAACUAGCAGCUUCAGCGCUCCUAAACGGUUUUGUUUCACAGCGGAAUGCAGAAUGGUCUCGCCUUGAUCCAAUUUGUAACGAGUCACUUGUGGUCGAGCCCCAACCAGCAUCCUUGUGACCUCAACUUCGCCUUUCAUUACAGCCAGAUGGAGGGGCGUUCUUCCAUCCUCAUCACGGAUGAGACAAGCGUCAGGAUUGGCGGACAGCAGUAUGUUAACCAUCUCAACAUAGCCAUUGGCAGAAGCCAAGUGUAGAGGCGAACGCCCCCGCAAAUCCAGGGCCAUGGUCAUGUCUGGUUUGUGAGUAAGAAGAUAGCUUGCGAAGUCGAGGUGACCGAGCAUGGCGGCUACGUGGAGUGGAGUCUCAUUAAAGCAUGUGACUGCAGCUCGAGCAAGAGUGAGUGGGUCUUUUGCCAUCAACUGCUUCAAGGAAUUCACACUUCCGGUUAUUGAUGCUUCAUACAGCCUUCUCUCUCUUCCCACUACGCUCUCCUCCUCUUCUGCUCUUUCCUCAUAUUUCCUUUCCAUUUUUCCUCUCCCAGUCUUCCUUCCUUGAUUGCCAGAUUUUAGCAUUAAAUCAUAGAGGCAACUACGGGGGAUAUUUUUCCACAGAGACUACGAAUGGGGUCAUUGGAAGAAUGCCUCGACCUGUCAACUCACUUCUUUAUUAUUGUGGAAAAUGCCAUGAAGCUUUGUUGUGGUUGGUUGGUUUACUUGUACAAAAGUCUAGCUGAAAACGCGGAGAAAUAUUGGUUGGUUUACUUGUACAAAAGUCUAGCUGAAAAGAAAUAUCGUCGUCAAUUUCUCCUAUUUUGUCGGGAAGUCAACGGUCACGGACCAACUGCUUCAAGAGAAUUUCCCGCGCUGGAGCCAUUGAAUCGAACCGGCCAACAAGCUCAAGUUGAGGCUUGGUUACCAGUGGACCAGAUACUCGUUUGUUAAUAUAAAAUCACAAUAUAAAUGUUAAAUUUUAUUAUUAAAUUCAUUAAUUAAUUAAUUCUAAUGAAUUUAUUUUAAAUUUUAUUUAAUUGAUUAAUAAAAAUAUAAAAACCAUCCUUAUAAUUUUCUUAACAAAUCUUUUUUUAUAUAAUUUAUAUGAUAAUUAAAUAUAAAAAAUAUAAAUAUUAAAAAAAAUCAUAUAUCAUUAUUUAUUUUAUAUUAUUAAAUACAUUUGAAUUAAAUAAAUUAUAAUUUUAAUAUUAAAUGUAUCGCCAUUUAUCUCGUUAAUCUUAUUUUUAAAAAUUACUAUCACUUUACUUUUAUUUAAUUUUGAAUGCUUUUAUUUUAAAAUAUUAAAAAAUACAAAUUUAUUAAAAAUUUACUAUAAUAUAAAAAAAUAAUGAAAUUCUAAUUUUUUAUAAAUUAAAAUUAAUUUGAUAAGAUAAAUAAUAAAUUAUUAAUAUUGAUAUAUGUCUAUUUACCGAUAUUUUUCUCCUUAAUCAUACUUAUAUCUAUUAUAUUUACAAAAUAACUUUAAUAUAUGUAUUCCUGCUUAUUUUAUUUAUUUUUGGAGUUUUUUCAAACAUUUCCAUGAAUUUUAAAUAAAUUUUGUUUGAUCGACAUUUUUAUCCAAACAUCCAUGGAUAUUUUACCAAUAUUUUUUAUAUAUCUAUAAAAUCCAAGUAUCGAUAUAUCCGUAUUUAUUGAUAUUUCAAGUCUUAGCAUCAAGUCAUCAAAACCGCCUUUGUUGUAAAACUACAUGUGGUUCAUGAAAAGAAUGUUGAAAAUUCUUAAAUAGGGUCAUGUUUUUUAAAACUAUUUUUAAAUUAUUUUUUAAUAUUUUAUAAAAAUAAGGGUAUUUGAGAAGUUGUUUUUUAAAAUUAUUUUUUUUUGUUUUGUAUUUAUAAAAAAUUGUACAUUGAAUUUAUAUAAUAUAAAUUUAAUUUAAUUCAAGUCUUAUUAAAAAUAAAUUUCUUUAGUAAGACAUGAAUAAUAAUAUUAUAAUAAAAUCAUAAAUUAUAUUUUUAUAAAAAAAAAAUACUACUUUAGUAGAUGUUAGAAACAUAAAGAUAUUAACAUAUAAUUUUUUUUUGUUAAAAAUGAAUAAUAAUAAUUUUUAAUAAUAUUUUAUUUAAAAUGAAUAAUGAAUAAAAUNNNNNNNNNNNNNNNNNNNNNNNNNNNNNNNNNNNNNNNNNNNNNNNNNNNNNNNNNNNNNNNNNNNNNNNNNNNNNNNNNNNNNNNNNNNNNNNNNNNNUUUAUUCAUUAUUCAUUUUAAAUAAAAUAUUAUUAAAAAUUAUUAUUAUUCAUUUUUAACAAAAAAAAAUAUAUGUUAAUAUCUUUAUGUUUCUAACAUCUACUAAAGUACUGUUCUCUUGUACAUAGAAGAGGUCUCUUAUGCUGUUUAUUACUUUUCUUGUCAUUGUUUUUAGAUGUUUAUCCCUAAUUUAAUUAUUAGCAUUUAUCUAUUUAUUAUUAGUUUGAAUUAGAAUAGAAUAUAGACUUUGAAUUAGAGUAGAAAUUUAUUAUUAGCUUGAAUUAGAAUAGGAAAUAGAGUUUGAAUUAUAAUAAAACUCAAUUGUAUUUAUAUAUAAAUAUUCAUCAUCGUUGAUAAAAAUAAUAUAUCAUAUUUUCUCUUUAUAAUGACUUCAUGGUCAUACGCCCAAUUUCAAUAAUGAUAUGAUACCGUGACUAACACUUUAACAUCAACCAUAAUAUAUCAUCAUAAGAUAUUAUAUUCCAUUAUUUUAAAAUAGUAUAUGCAAUAAAAUAUGUUAUAUUAUACUUAUAUUUUAAUUUAUAAAAUAAAGAAAAAAAUGAAAUACAUAUAGAUAAAAAAAAUAAUUUAUGCAUAUUAAAUAAUACAUAUUAGUAUUAUUUUACAAUAUAUUUAUAAACAUUUUUUAAUUUUUCUUUUUUAACCACAAAUUUAAUCUUUUAAUUAAAAAAAUUUAUUUUAAAAAAUAAAUACUAUAAAAUUUUUAAAAUUUUGAUAAAAAUAAAUAAGUUUAUAUACAUAACAUACAUAUGUAUAUCAAAUAUCUUAAAAGCGGACAAAGAAAAUACAAAAGAAUUAAAGAUGUCUUAUCGUAUCUAAUAUUACAUCGAGUCGAGAUGUAUAGUAACUCCAACAUGUCAUUCCGUUGACACCUCAUUGGUGUGCGGCAACAGGAUUUUGAAAAAAAACAUUAAUUAAAAGUUGUAGGAAAUAACUGUCUUACGAGGAGUCAACUUCAAUCUUAUUUAAAUUUGAAGUGGUCACCACCUACCCUCUUUUUUUGGUCAUGAUUUUAAUGGUUCUCCUUAAAAAAUCUUCGGAGUAUGUUUGAUUGUCGAAAAAUAUAAUUAAUAAAUAAAUCAAGGGAAAAAAAUAAAUUAGGAUAAAAAUUUUAAAAAUAAAUAAAAUAAUUUAAAUAUCAAAAAAAUUAAAAGCAUAUUAAUUUUUAUUUUAUAUAUAUAUAUAUAUAUAUAUAUAUAUAUAUAUAUAUAUAUAUAUAUAUAUAUAUAUAUAUAUAUUCUAAUAAAAUCAAAUAUGAGCAAAUCAUUUUUUUUUUCCUAAUAUUUCUUAAACCAAAUAUAAUCUCAAUUUUUUUCAUUCAAAUAUCAUCUCCUUGUCGAAGAUGGGGGAGUUUUUUUUUUCUUUUUCUUUUCAAUGAACUUAUUAUAGAAGAAUGAAGAUUUUAACUCUCUUUCUUAAAAAUAAAAUAAACCGCCUAUAUUUUCUUUAUCAUAAUUUUCCCAUAGUGGUUCCUCCGGAAGUAGCAAGAGGCUUUGAUUUUAUAUUGGCAAGCAACCAUGAUCAGACGACUAGUUGAGACUUGUUCAUUACUCGGUCAAUCAAUGAUAAUCAAUUUGCAAAACCUAGAAAUGUCUUUCUGAUGGAUAGAUUCAUAGAAAUGAUAUUGGUACGCCAUUAAACCAAUAAUUAAAGAUUUUCAACCCAAUAUUUAUUCAUCAAUCAAAUGGGGAUCAACAAACUUCUUAUUGACGUCUGUUAGCCCCAACCCAAGUCAAUCACACCCUCUGAUCAGGAAAGUCUGAGGAAGCCCUGGGGUAAGAAUUCAUAUCGCUACCUUGAUAGCAAACCCACAUGGGUCCCCUCAAUUCUGGACAUACAAGGUGUCCUUCCUUGCAUCUCUAAGCUUAAUCCUUCUCCUUGUAACUGUAUCACUGAAGCCAUGCCUGGAUUUUCAUUUUCAUGUUCAUUUGUAUGGUAUUUGCAGCCUUGCUAACCAUGUCAGAUGAGCAUGAAGGGGACUUCAGCGUUUACAUAUGAAGUCUAAUUGGCAUUGUUAUAUUGCUGUGCCUUAUCCGUUUCCUCAUAUGGUGCCCAGAAGUUGCCAAGGCUUAGAAUGGCAAGAAAUGGGAAUGGGGAUGAUGAUGGGAGUAUCUCAGUAUAUAUAUGGUUGGGACUAUUUGGGAUCUUUGCCUUGGCUGACUCUAUCUGCUUUCGCAUAUGGUGUGUCCAGAAGAUGCAAAGAAUCAGGAGGAGGAGAAACGUAUUUGAUUAAUGUACAUCCUCUGAGUUGCCCAGCAGCUUCUUCUUCAGCCAUGAUCCCAUGAAAACGCCACUUGUUUGAUGUUAGCCUUAGCUUGUUUUCUUAUAUCCAUCUUCUUGCUUGUUUCAGUACUUUGUCCCAUCUCCUUCCACAAUUGCACAGCUUCUGGGAACGGGGAUUUCUGGUUUUCUUCUGUCUUAAACCGAAUCAUCAUGCUCUUAUGGAAAUUAUAUCCAUGUUGGUUGAAAAAACAUUUCAGAACCAUGGAAAACUCCAAAGUGAAUUGCAUUACUCCCACAAGAAAUGAGGGAUCCCACCCCCAUAAGCUUCCUUGAUUUGCUUCUAAAUAUUUUUUGAUUUUACAAGAAUUUCUAUUGUGUAUAUCCCCGUACUGGAUUGAUGAAAAAGGAAAUUUUAAGAAACAUUUUAAGAGAUCAAACAUUUUGGUUUUAAAAAUACAUAUAUAUAUAUAUUUGAUAACCGAUGGAAUCAGAGUGUAACAACUUAUAAAUGGCAAUGCAACGAUUAGCAUGCGUAAUAUUAAGAACAGAAGAAGAUCCUCAAUGUGAGUGUUUAGCUAGGUUGCCAAUUUCGGACAAAAUUCUUAAGUGUCCCCUAACUCGGUUUACCAAUCCCUCUUCAGACCACUUGACUUUAAAGACUAAGACUUUGCUAAGAAAUCGGGGUAUGUAGCCGAGUGUGUGGUGAUUGAAUGUGAAUUAACCCUGUUUUUCAUCUUUAAAUGAGUUAAGAAAACUGAGAGAAAUAGUUUUUGGUACAAGACUUUUGUUCCCCUGUUUCUAAAUCGAUCUAAGUGUAGGGACAGAUCGAUCCAAUUAACUUAUUUUUAAGAUCAAAUUUCAGUCAUUAGAUUAAGGGUUUCUUUUUACACUUUAAAUACAAACUUCUCUCAUUUUCUAAGGUGAGACUACAACAACCGUGGAGAUAGUUGCAGUCACUCCAUGUGUUCUUCAUUUUCUCAUCUCUUUUCCUAAUUUGAGGGUUUUUUGUUGCAAAGAAAAUUCAAUUCUCUUGAUGUUUUCCAAGCUAGUUUUUAAUGGAUUUUUUUUAGCAAUAAAUUGAUUGAUUCAUUCAUUCAUUCAUAUCUCAAUCUCUCAUGCUAUUUAAGUUUGGGUACAAACACAUUUUCUUCUUGUGUGAAUUCAAGAAAAGGUCGAGAUCGAGCUUAAUGUAGACUUCAAGUGUGCUCCAAAAGAAGGUGAGAAACUAAAAGUGAAAGGUACUAGUCAAUGGUCCGGAAAGGAUUGGUUGACUUGAGUUAGGUAAAAUCUUGUAUUCAGUUUUUAUUCUUUAGAUGUUUCUGGUCGUUGGUAGGUCUGUGGUUUUUUAUCUCUUCAGAGGUUUUCUAAUUUAAAAUCUGGUUUUGAUUGUCUCUUUCUCUCUCUACACUUUGAUUUAUUUUCUGUUUUUUAUAUCAUUGAUUACUUGGUCCUCACAUGGUGUGUCCAGAAGUUGCAGAGACCUAGGAGGAGGAAUAUUUGACUAAGUCCACAUCCUCUCUCUGCUGCCCAGCUGCUUCAGCUUCUGCCAUGACCCCUUGAAAACCCAUCUUAUUUGCUGUUUGAUAGGAAUUGUAGGGACACUUUUACCAUUCAGAAGAAACUGCCUCCGCUGCCUGCUUGCUGUUUCUUUCUUACUUGUUUGGGUGUUUCUAUUCAAAAUUUGGAGUUUGCUUAAUGGUUUGAUAAGAAGUCAUUGCUUAAUGGUUCCUUGUUGACUCAACCUUUUUCUUCAACUUUGAAUCCUCUAUAAUUGAAGGCUUGAUCUAAAUAACUACAAUUUCUAAUGUCCACAAGCUCUUCCUCUGAUUCAUGCUCAUGGAUUGGAAGGUUUCAUUAUUGACACAAAGCCUUGUCAUGAGCAAUAUGUUUUAACUCAUAUUAGUGCUUUUCGAACAAAGGUUAUUCAUCAUAUCAAUCUCGAUUACAUAAAUUGAACUUGACUUGAUCGGUUUCUAGUUAGUUGAUCGCUUUCCUUGACUCUUGAAUCUAUCUACAAUCAUAUUAUUGAUGCACUACUUCAUAUGAGGUUUAGAGAACACUUGAACGGCUGUUCACUAUUGAAUCUAAGUUUAGAAUACUGCAACUUUACUAUUUGUUGCAGUCCACUUGCAAAGGCUCCAUGUCAAUUGCUAACUACAUAUUGAAGUUGGGAGGAAUUGCACACCUUCUACUAUUGGUCAAGUCAUAUAAAUCGAUGAGAAGCUUGUCAUGUAUAUCAUCAAAGUUUUGAAUAGUGAAUAUGAUCUCAUUAAUUUGACAUCUCAUAAUGAAGUUGUUU
rnacentral:lncRNA from 1 species